UCUAUUAAAGCUAGCAAUGAUAUGUUUCCAGGUGGUCCUCAUUAUAGAAGUAUCCUCUUCUUGAAGGACUGUAAUGAUAGCGUACUAGUAGAACCUGGGCAGCCAAUUCAAUUGUUGAGAUCCAUAGUAGCCGCGCCAUGCAGGCACAACCUCAUAAUUUGUGUAAAUCUGACAAGCGAGGAUGCACACCUUCCUAGUGCAAGAAUCACCUUUCCUGUGAAAUUCUCCGGUGAAUCGGUGAUGAAUAUAAAAAGGCAAAUACAAGUCAAGGUCACUUGGAAAACCAGAUACUUGUAUCCCAAAAAUUAUCCUCUUAACUUUUCGCAAAAAUUAUCCUUGUAACUUUUGAUUUGCUUUCUUGCUUUUUUCUUUUUUUAUUUAUUUAUUUUGAAUUAAGGAUUGUACUUGUGGAUUGUGGAUGUUGUUUGAAACUUUGAUUUCUGUCAUGGAUGUUUGAAUUCCGUUGUGGAAGUUGUUUGGAUUGCAUUUUGGUUGGAUGUUUGAAUUCACAUCUUGCUUGGGUUUUUAUGCUAUGGUUUUGUAUUCCUUUAGGGAGUUAUCCUUUUACAUGAGUUAUCCUGUUUUACCUUUUCACUUAUCCAUAGAUUGUACCUUUUCACUUAUCCAUAGAUUGUAGGAGCUGCUAUUGUUGCGAAGAAGGAUUGGGGACUGGAGGUUAGUAUUUAUUAUUCAAUUAUUCAAUUUGUGUUGGUUUAUACAUUAACUUCUUUCUUGAGGUGUGGGAGAUAUCAUUGUUGGUUUAGUUCCUUUAAAUUGUGUAUGUUUCCAAGCGAGGAUGCACACCUUCCUAGUGCAAGAAUCACCUUUCCUGUGAAAUUCUCUAGUGAAUCGGUGCUGAAGAUAAAUAGCCAAAUACGAGUGAAGGUCACUUGGAAAACCAAAUACAUGAACACCAAUAAUUAUGUCAAAUACAAGUGAAGGUCACUUGGAAAGCCUAAUACAUGAACACCAAUAGUUAUGUCAGAAGAUCUGGAUAUUCUGGCUGCACAGUCACCUCGUCGUAG
rnacentral:lncRNA from 1 species